GACGAACGCUGGCGGCGUGCUUAACACAUGCAAGUCGAACGCUGAAGCUCAGCUUUUGUUGGGUGGAUGAGUGGCGAACGGGUGAGUAACACGUGAGUAACCUGCCUCCUUCUUUGGGAUAACGCCCGGAAACGGGUGCUAAUACUGGAUAUUCACUGGUCUUCGCAUGGGGGUUGGUGGAAAGGGUUUUUCUGGUGGGGGAUGGGCUCGCGGCCUAUCAGCUUGUUGGUGGGGUGAUGGCCUACCAAGGCUUUGACGGGUAGCCGGCCUGAGAGGGUGACCGGUCACAUUGGGACGGAGAUACGGCCCAGACUCCGACGGGAGGCAGCAGUGGGGAAAAUUGCACAAUGGGUGCAAGCCUGAUGCAGCGACGCCGCGUGAGGGAUGGAGGCCUUCGGGUUGUGAACCUCUUUCGCUCAUGGUCAAGCCGCAACAAUGGUUGUGGUGAGGGUAGUGGGUAAAGAAGCGCCGGCUAACUACGUG
rnacentral:rRNA from 1 species